AAUAUUAGCUCCUCCAUCCGUCAGGUAAAUUAAAGCUAUCGAGGACAUUAAAACUGCUGUUUCUGUAAUCAAAAAGAGAAAUUAUACUGAACUCUCAAACACUUUUAACGUUUCGUACCUGCCAAAUGUUAUUGUUCCUUGUAUAAGUGCUAAUAUUUUUAUUUGAAGCUUGUAAUUUAUAUCCCAACGAUUCCAUUGAUGGAAUUCUAUGAACUGUUUGUUGCCGAGGAAGUGUUUAAAGGAAUCUAUAUUGCGAUUUGGACACUUACUUGGGGUAAAGAAAGUUACAUGUUUGAGACGAAAUUUCCUCGUUUGUAUAAAUUUCAUUAUCACCCUUAAGAAAUUGAAAGCCUAAAUUAAAAUUUUCGUUACUUUAUAUAUGUGUGGAUUUAAAGAAAGUAGAACUUAAGUUAUUGCCGCAUACUAUGAAUUUUAAUAGAUUUUCUAGAAGAUUUCCGGA
rnacentral:misc_RNA from 1 species